rnacentral:rRNA from 1 species
UACGAAGGGGGCUAGCGUUGUUCGGAAUUACUGGGCGUAAAGCGCACGUAGGCGGACAUUUAAGUCAGGGGUGAAAUCCCAGAGCUCAACUCUGGAACUGCCUUUGAUGCUGGGUGUCUAGAGUAUGGAAGAGGUGAGUGGAAUUCCGAGUGUAGAGGUGAAAUUCGUAGAUAUUCGGAGGAACACCAGUGGCGAAGGCGGCUCACUGGUCCAUUACUGACGCUGAGGUGCGAAAGCGUGGGGAGCAAACAGG